rnacentral:rRNA from 1 species
GACAGAGGAUGCAAGCGUUAUCCGGAAUGAUUGGGCGUAAAGCGUCUGUAGGUGGCUUUUUAAGUCCGCCGUCAAAUCCCAGGCUCAACCCUGGACAGGCGGUGGAAACUACCAAGCUGGAGUACGGUAGGGGCAGAGGGAAUUUCCGGUGGAGCGGUGAAAUGCGUAGAGAGUACGGAGAGAACACCAACGGCGAAAGCACCCUGCUGGGCCGACACUGACACUGAGAGACGAAAGCUAGGGGAGCGAAUGGG